rnacentral:lncRNA from 1 species
UUCCUCCUUUCGCACCAACAGGACCGAGGCUGAAGGAAAAGAUCCUGUGGUGAAGAUGUGCUGGCUCUUAAAGUCUCUGCCCAGCAGUGGCCCCAUCACUUCCUACAUUCUGCCGGUCCAGACUUCCUGCUGACUCCAGGUGGGGAGAAGGUCCCUCCAUCCCCUACACGUUCACGAGGAAGGCAAUGGCUGCUCCUCCUGGCUGCUGUCUCUGUUCUGGCAAUGCUGUGUCUGGUUUUCUCCUACAUUCCUAGAAGCAAAUACAACUCACAAUGAGAACUGAUUUCCUGCCUUGUCUCUAUGAAGAAUAUCAACCUCUCCAG